UCAAUCUCACUGCUGGGAAGGAUGCUUAGCUUAUAGUGGGGACCCACAGGAAAAUAUAAACUCUAAUAUAGCCUGUUUUCUGCUUGUCUACUACCCUAAGUGGUAUUUCAUCUCUUUCUUGAUUAGCAGUGCAACUCUGUCUUGGAUGUUUUGAAGCCACAUGGAACAGGGUUGACCUUCACUGAUGUCAACAGGCCAGAGGUUUUCUUCUUUGUUUAAUUCAGACAACUGAAAGACAACAAGAUACUGGUCAGAGCUCCUGGAGUGGAAUCAAGAGCAUUGGCAGGCUACACUGGCUAAAAAUCGUUCUAUUUGACAGCAGUUAACUUAACCGCGGGGCUCCACAAAUGAAAGAUCAAUGCAGAAGCUCCUCAGAUCCUCAGAAAUCUCCAUUUGUGCAGUGAGCACCAUCUAAAAUGCACAGCCUGGUCAAGAAGCGGUCUGCAGUGAGCUGCUAAAGCAAAGCUGCAUAGCUGCAUAUGUCCAUGACCAGCUCUCAAGGCUUUUAUGAACCUUCUACUCCUGAACAUCCACAGAUUCCUGCAGGAAGAAGAUCUGACCAGACCACUGGCAUUUUUU
ensembl:lncRNA